UGGUAGAGUCAGACUCGUUCAGUCGUGUUUCACCAUCCAGCUGAGCAGCCAAAUCUGACGAAGAAUCAAUGAUUUGGGCAUCAGAAGCUAGAUUUAGGGUUUUCGUUGAAGGAGACUUCUGGGUUGAGAUUGAGUCAGUUUGCUGAGCAACCAAAUCGGGACAUGAAUCACCAGUUAGGGCUUCAGAAGCAAGCUUUGGAGAGUCCGGUAGGGAGGCCUCCUUCUCCAUAUCAGCCUGAACUUGCUGAGCAGCCAGAUCUACAAUCUGGGCGUCAGAAGCAUGUUCGAAGGCAGAGGACGGAGGAUUGAGGGUCUCUAUGGAGUUUUCAGGCACAGCAGAGGAGCCAUUGACCUUAGAGCGAGAGUUGGAUGGUGGG
rnacentral:lncRNA from 1 species